rnacentral:lncRNA from 1 species
CUUUGUCUCUGAGUUGCUUCUCCAAGUCUCUGAUCUUCUUCUGAUAACUGGCUUCUGCUCUCUGCAGUCUCAAGCGCUCCCGGUGUUCUGCAUCUAACAUGCUCUCCAUCUCCUCGUAGGAUCUCUUCUUGCUUCUCAGUCUGCUAGCAUCUUCUCCUUGCACUUCCCUGAGUUGAUAGGCCAAGUGCAGCUUAUCAGCU